rnacentral:tRNA from 1 species
AAAAUCCGUCGACUUUAGAAAUCUGAGGGUUCAGUCCCUCUAUCCCCA